rnacentral:rRNA from 1 species
GGUUCGAUUCUGGCCUGAUUGAACAAAGGCGGGAUGCUUUACACAUGCAAGUCGAAUGGCAGCACGGACUUCGGUCUAAUGGGCGAGUGGCGGAACGGCAGUAAGCGAAUGGAACGUGCCUAGUAGCGGGGGAUAACUACGCGAAAGCGUACAAUACCGCAUACGGCCCUUCGGGGGAAAGCGGGGAUCCCGGGCCUCGCACCGCUAGAGCGGGCUGAUGGCCGGAUUAGUACAGGGUAACGGCUCACCAAGGCGACGAUCCGUAGCUGGUUUGAGAGGACGAUCAGCCGCCACACUUGGGACUGAGAUUACGGCCCAGACUCCUACGGGAGGCAGCAGUGGGGAAUUUUGAUUACCGGGAACUCCUGAUCCAGCCAUCCCGCGUGUGCGAUGAAGGCCUUCGGGUUGUAAAGCACUUUUGGCAGGAAAGAAACGGCACGGAUACACACUGUGCAACUGACGGUACCUGCAGAAUAAGCACCGGCUAACUACGUGCCAGCAGCCGCGGUAAUACGUAGGGUGCAAGCGUUAAUCGGAAUUACUGGGCGUAAAGCGUAAGUGCAGGCGGUUCGAAAGAAAGAUGUAAAUCCCCAGAGCUUAACUUUGGAACUGCAUUUUUAACUACCGAGCUAGAGUAAGUCAGAGGGAGGAAUUCCGCGUGUAGCAGGAAAUGCAGAUAUGCGGAGAACACCGAUGGCGAAGGUGAAUUUUGGAUAACACUGACGCUCAUGCACGAAAGCGUGGGGAGCAAACAGGAUUAGAUACCCUGGUAGUCCACGCCCCAAACGAUGUCAACUAGGCUGUUGGGGCCUUCGGGCCUGGUAGCGCAGCUUAACGCGGUGAAGACACCGCCUGGGAGUAUGGUCGCAAGAUUAAACUCAAAGGAAUUGACGGGGAUCCGUAAUGAGCGGGUGAUGUGGAUUAAUUCGAUGCAACAUGAAAAACCACUACUUGACAUGUCUGGAAUCCCGAAGAGAUUUGGGAGUGCUCGCAAGAGAACCGGAACACAGGUGCUGUAUGGCUGUCGUCAGCUCGUGUCAGAGAUGUUGGGUUAAGUCCCGCAACGAGCGCAACCUUUGUCAUUAGUUGUUGGCGACAGCGGGCACUAAUGAGACUGCCGGUGACAAACCGGAGGGUGGAUGACGUCAAGUCCCCAUGGCCCCGGCGGUGCAGGGCUUCACGCCAUACAAUGGUCGGGACAGAGGGUCGCCAACCUGGCGAGGGAUGCUAAUCCCAGAAACCCGAUCGUAGUCCGGACGUAGUCUGCACCUGAUCGUGUCGGAAUCGCUAGUAAUCGCGGACUGUAUAUGUCGCGGUGAAUACGUUCCCGGGUCUUGUGCACACCGCCCGUCACACCAUGGGAGUGGGUUUUACCAGAAGCGUAGUUAGCCUAACCGUAAGGAGGGCGAUUACCACGGUAGAUUCAUCGGGGUGAAGUCGUAACGUG